rnacentral:snRNA from 1 species
AUACUUACCUGGCAGGGGAGAUACCAUGGUCACAAAGGUGGUUUUCCCAGGACCAGGCUUAUCCAUUGCACUCCGGAUGUGCUGACCCCUGCAAUUUCCCCAAAUGUGGGAAACUCGACUGCAUAAUUUGUGGUAGUGGGGGACUGCAUUCGUGCUUUCCCCUG